rnacentral:rRNA from 1 species
CCUACGGGAGGCAGCAGUGGGGAAUUUUGGACAAUGGGCGCAAGCCUGAUCCAGCCAUUCCGCGUGAGUGAAGAAGGCCUUCGGGUUGUAAAGCUCUUUCGCAAGGGAAGAAAACUUACAUUCUAAUAAAGUGUGAGGCUGACGGUACCUUGAUAAGAAGCACCGGCUAACUACGUGCCAGCAGCCGCGGUAAUACGUAGGGUGCGAGCGUUAAUCGGAAUUACUGGGCGUAAAGCGUGCGCAGGCGGUUUUGUAAGUCAGAUGUGAAAUCCCCGAGCUCAACUUGGGAACUGCGUUUGAAACUACAAGACUAGAAUAUGUCAGAGGGGGGUAGAAUUCCACGUGUAGCAGUGAAAUGCGUAGAGAUGUGGAGGAAUACCAAUGGCGAAGGCAGCCCCCUGGGAUAAUAUUGACGCUCAUGCACGAAAGCGUGGGGAGCAAACAGGAUUAGAUACCCUGGUAGUCCACGCCCUAAACGAUGUCUACUAGUUGUUGGUGGAGUAAAAUCCAUGAGUAACGCAGCUAACGCGUGAAGUAGACCGCCUGGGGAGUACGGUCGCAAGAUUAAAACUCAAAUGAAUUGACGG